rnacentral:rRNA from 1 species
AUACGUAGGGAGCGAGCGUUGUCCGGAAUUACUGGGUGUAAAGGGUGCGUAGGCGGGACUGCAAGUCAGAUGUGAAAUGCCGGGGCUCAACCCCGGAGCUGCAUUUGAAACUGUGGUUCUUGAGUGAGGUAGAGGUAAGCGGAAUUCCUAGUGUAGCGGUGAAAUGCGUAGAUAUUAGGAGGAACACCAGUGGCGAAGGCGACUUACUGGACUGUAACUGACGCUGAGGCGCGAAAGUGUGGGGAGCAAACAGGAUUAGAUACCCUGGUAGUCCACACUGUAAACGAUGAAUGCUAGGUGUAGGGGGUAUCGACCCCUUCUGUGCCGCAGUCAACACAAUAAGCAUUCCGCCUGGGGAGUACGGCCGCAAGGUUGAAACUCAAAUGAAUUGACGGGG